UCCUAGACACUAAUUAGAUCAAUUAAUCUAAUAUGACUCGCUCAUGUUGGUUCACUCUCGACUUGAUUGAGGAGGUUUUAGUUUAGGUCUCAUUGGGUUUGCUACAUCACAUGUAAACCUAUCUAUCCCGCUCUCAUUCACAUCACAUGCAAACGGCACAUCGUAGGCAGUUAUAAUCGCAGCAAUAAAUAAAGCUAAACUUUAAAUAGGUGAUGAUCAUGGAUUCUAAUUAGGUCAU
rnacentral:lncRNA from 1 species